UAGGGAAUCUUCCGCAAUGGACGAAGGUCUGACGGAGCAACGCCGCGUGAGUGAAGAAGGAUUUCGGUUCGUAAAACUCUGUUGUUAGGGAAGAAAAAAUGUAUAGUAACUAUAUACAAAAGAGACGGUACCUAACCAGAAAGCCACGGCUAACUACGUGCCAGCAGCCGCGGUAAUACGUAGGUGGCAAGCGUUGUCCGGAAUUAUUGGGCGUAAAGCGCGCGCAGGUGGUUUAGAAAGUCUGAUGUGAAAGCCCACGGCUCAACCGUGGAGGGUCAUUGGAAACUAAUAAACUUGAGUGCAGGAGAGAAAAGUGGAAUUCCUAGUGUAGCGGUGAAAUGCGUAGAGAUUAGGAGGAACACCGGUGGCGAAAGCGGCUUUUUGGCCUGCAACUGACACUGAGGCGCGAAAGCGUGGGGAGCAAACAGG
rnacentral:rRNA from 1 species